AGACGGAGGGUGCUAGCGUUGUUCGGAAUCAUUGGGCGUAAAGGGCGUGUAGGCGGCUCGUUAAGUCAUGCGUGAAAGCCCUCGGCUUAACCGAGGAAGUGCGUAUGAUACUGGCGAGCUUGAGUUCGGAAGAGGGGGGUGGAAUUCCAGGUGUAGCGGUGAAAUGCGUAGAUAUCUGGAGGAACACCGGUGGCGAAGGCGACCCCCUGGUCCGACACUGACGCUGAGACGCGAAAGCGUGGGUAGCAAACAGGAUUAGAUACCCCGGUAGUCC
rnacentral:rRNA from 1 species